GCCCUUCGUAGCAAUCAGGAGCUCAAUGUUGCAGCAGCAAGGUACAGAGGUGACAGCACAGCAAUGUGAAAGGCUGCUUCUGCAGUACUCCUAGCCUGAUGCCUAGGAAUAAGGAAUUGAGUUUGUGUCCUGAAUUUGGAUCCUAUACUGCCAAGAGAUAGGAAACAAUCAGUGGGGAGCCAUGUGAAUCUGAGAGCUUCGUCGAAUGUUGAGGCUUUGAGGAGGCAAUCGUCAAGGGGUUUGGAUUCCUAAGGACCGAAGGGUUUCCCUUGAGACCUUCAUUGAAUAAAGUACGUCAUUUGUGAUGGAAGCAAAGAGUUUGUCACCGUCAAAGGGAAGAUCUUCAAUGAUACUCUGGACCUCUCGAGGAAAGGAAGAGGAGAGCCAUGAACCUUGGCGCAUGACCACUCCUGUGGUGGUGGAUCUUGCUGCAGUAUUGGCUGCAUCGAGGGCCGCUUGAAGAGCGGUACGUGAUAUGAUUUGUCCCUCAGAAACUAGAGCUGUGAAUUGUUGCUUCUUUUCUUUUGGAAUGUCAUCAAUA